GAAAAGGAUUAUAUGUGAGGAAAUGGAUGGAUAACCCCAUUGCUUUCAUAGGUUUGUUGGUAGUGCUUAUUGCUGAAUUGGGAUCAAGUGACAUUUAAUAAGGCCAGUCUUGAACAUUACUGAAUUGUACCUGUGAAAAGGAAGUUGGAGUCUGCAGUGGCUGGACCAAGAAACAGGCCUGUCAGAUCCUGGGAGGAACUACUCCUCCCUGCAUGCCAUCCUCGCAGCUCUGCAGAGUGUCUCCAUUCGCUGCCUGAAGAGGACAUGGGACAGAGUUUCCAGGAGCGGCCCUCAAAUAAACUUGCCACCCUGGUGAGGAAGCUGCAGAGAGCACGGCAUGGGCUGCCAAAGAAGCUUGGCACUUUCCUCACUGACCUCUUGAUGUUGGAUACUGCAAUGGAGGACUACCUGGAGGUGGGUGAGCCUGAG
rnacentral:lncRNA from 1 species